rnacentral:rRNA from 1 species
UGCCGCUUGCGAGGGCGUAUGGUGGAUGCCUUGGCAGACAGUACCGAUGAAGGACGUUUGAGGAUGCGAUAAUCCUAGGGGAGCCUCCAACAUGGCUUUGAUCCUAGGGUCUCCGAAUGGGGGAACCCGCCGGCCGUCAUGGGUCGGCACCGCCUAUGGGCGGGGGGUACGCAGGGAAGUGAAACAUCUCAGUACCUGCAGGAAGGGAUACUCCGUGAGUAGUGGCGAGCGAAAGCGGAUCAGACCAAACCGGUUGCGCGUGAUACCCGUCGGGGGUUGCGUUGCCGGUGUCGUGGGAUCACGUGUCCCGGUUCCGACGGGCCGGGCGGGAGUCAUAAAACGGCUUGCCAGGGGAACAGGCUUGAAGGCCUGGCCGUAGAGGGUGCCAGCCCCGUACCUGGACGUGAGCCGUCUUCCGAUCGUGUUGUCCCAAGUAGCGCGGGCCUCGUGGAAUCCCGCGUGAAUCAGCCCAGACCGUUGGGUAAGUCUAAGCAUACCUGUCUGACCGAUAGCGUACCAGUACCGUGAGGGAAAGGUGAAAAGCACCCCGGGAGGGGAGUGAAACAGUUCCUGAAACCGUGCGCCCACAAACCGUCGGAGCCUCUGUGUGGGGUGACGGCGUGCCUAUCGAAAAAUGAGUCUGCGAGUCAGUGGCGGGUGGCGAGCAUAAGCCGUGUGGCGUAUGCGUAGCGAAAGCGAGUCUUAAAAGGCGUUUUUAGUCGCUUGUCCUGGACCCGAAGCGGGAUGAUCUAGCCCUGGGCAGGUUGAAGCGCGGGUAAGACCGCGUGGAGGACCGAACCCACCUGGGUUGAAAACCGGGGGGAUGACCUGGGGCUAGGGGUGAAAGGCCAAUCAAAUUCCGUGAUAGCUGGUUCUCUCCGAAAUGCAUUUAGGUGCAGCGUCGGUCGAUUGCGUCGCGGGGGUAGAGCUACCGGAUGCUUGCGGGCCCUUGUUGGGUACCAACAGCAGCCGAACUCCGAAUACCGUUGACGUGUAUUCCGGCAGUGAGUCGGCGGGGGAUAAGCUCCGUCGUCGAGAGGGAGACAGCCCAGACCGUCGUCUAAGGUCCCGAAGCGUGUGCUAAGUGGGAAAGGAUGUGGAGUCGCAUAGACAGCCAGGAGGUUGGCUCAGAAGCAGCCAUCCUUGAAAGAGUGCGUAACAGCUCACUGGUCUAGUGGUUCCGCGCCGACAAUGUAGCGGGGCUCAAGCACACCACCGAAGACGCGGCAGCAAUCUUCAUGGUUGCUGGGUAGGAGAGCGUCCUGCGAGGGGCGAAGCGGCCGGGUAACCGUGCCGUGGACUUCGUGGGAGUGAGAAUGCAGACAUGAGUAGCGAGAGACGGGUGAGGAUCCCGUCCGCUGGAUGACCAAGGGUUCCGGGGCCACGUUCGUCGUCCCCGGGUGAGUCGGGUCCUAAGGCGAGGCCGACAGGCGUAGUCGAAUGGAUGAACGGGUGGAUAUUCCCGUACCGACCAUGGACCGGCAAAACCGAGACGGUGAGUACUAACCUCCGCCUCGUGGUGGUUCCUUCCUUCGGGUUGGUAUCGCCGCGUGGUGUUGGGACCGUAGCCGCAGUAGGUCAGCGCAGGGGUGACACGGAAUGGGAGCCGGCCGCGGAGGUGGUUUUCCGUGGUCAAGCACGCAGCCAGUCAUGUAGGCAAAUCCGCAUGGCGCGCAUGGCGAGGUGUGAUGAUGGGAGCCGUUAUGGCUCGAUAUCCGGUUGUCCAGGCCGUCGAGAAAAGCCUCGGCGUGAGGGCCAUGGCCGCCCGUACCCCAAACCGACACUGGUGGUCAGGUAGAGAAUACCAAGGCGAUCGAGCGAAUCCUGGUCAAGGAACUCGGCAAAUCACUCCCGUGCCUUCGGUAUAAGGGAGACCCGCUGGGGUGAACCGGCUAGCCCGGGGAGCUUUGGUGGGUGGCACAGACCAGGGGGUAGCGACUGUUUACCAAAAACACAGGUGCAUGCGAAGGCGAAAGCCGCUGUAUAUGCACUGACGCCUGCCCGGUGCCGGAAGGUUAAGAGGAUCCGUCAAUCCUUCGGGAUGAAGCGGUGAAUUCAAGCCCCGGUAAACGGCGGUGGUAACUAUAACCAUCCUAAGGUAGCGAAAUUCCUUGUCGGGUAAGUUCCGACCUGCACGAAUGGCGUA